AUUGAACGCUGGCGGCAGGCCUAACACAUGCAAGUCGAGCGAGCGGCGGACGGGUGAGUAAUGUAUGGGGACUGCCCGAUAGAGGGGGAUAACUACUGGAAACGGUGGCUAAUACCGCAUACUAUCGGAUAACCCAUAUGGGAUUAGCUAGUAGGUGGGGUAAAGGCUCACCUAGGCGACGAUGUCGAGCUGGGCUGAGAGGCUGAUAAGCCACACUGUGACUGCGACACGGCCCAGCUUCCGACGGAGGCAGCAGUGGGGAAGAUUGCAUAAUGGGCGCAAGCCUGAUGCAGCAAUGCCGCGUGUAUGAAGAAGGCCUGAGGGUUGUAAAGUACGUUCAGCGGGGAGGCGUUACCCGCAGAAGAAGCACCGGCUAACUCCGUGCCAGCAGCCGCGGUAAUAC
rnacentral:rRNA from 1 species